rnacentral:rRNA from 1 species
UGCGCAGGCGGGGCAAUAAGUCAGUGGUGAAAUCCUGCGGCUUAACCGUAGAACUGCCAUUGAUACUGUUGCCCUUGAGUAUAGUCGAGGUGGGCGGAAUAUGUAAUGUAGCGGUGAAAUGCAUAGAUAUUACAUAGAACACCAAUUGCGAAGGCAGCUCACUAAGCUAUCACUGACGCUGAGGCACGAAAGCGUGGGGAGCGAACAGGAUUAGAUACCCUGGUAGUCC